AAGUGUGCGGACGUAUUUCUUAUACCUCGUGCUCUGUAGUCUGUGAUUUGUUACCCGAUAUUUUUCCUCUUUGUUUCGUGUGCGACCUUGCUGUGAAGUGUUACUUUUAGCCGUUCAAUGCAGUCCUUUUCAGGACUAGUUUUACGUGGUUAGGGAUAAUAUCUGUAUCACAGUGAAGUGUUUGUUGGUGUGGUGAUUCUGUGAUUUAAACAGUGAUUUGAAAUUGAAAUAAAUAAUUGUUUUAAAAGAAAUAUUUUUACAUUGGGCCGACAACAUGUCAGACCCUCCCCCCUUAGGGGGGAAUUUUCCCCCUCCCGGGACCACUCGUAGAGUGAGACCUAUGCCCCCGUGGAUGGACAAAGACAAUGAGAAUGGUGAACUUAAGUAUUUGGUGCUUCAAAUGGCUAAUGAUUCUGUCUUGCCCGUAAACCCGUUCAUCGUAGGUAAAACCAUCAAGGACGCCGUUGGCAGUGAUCUAAGUGAGUUUGGCCGUAAAAUCGACAGUGGAAAGAAGCUUUUGCUGAAAACUAGGAACCAAAGCCACUUCGAGAAGCUUCAAAAAAUUACAAAGUUAAUCGAUGGAACCCUUGUGAAAUUUGCUCCUCAUGUGACCCUCAAUAGUGUUCAGUGUGUUAUUUUUGCCCCGGAUCUAAAAGGAUUAAGUGAUGAAGAUAUUCUGGAGAACUUAAGUGCCCAAAAAGUAAUGAAUGUUCGGCGUUUUACGCGUAAAGUGAAUGGUGAAAUUGUGCCAACAAACAUUUUUCUACUUCGAAUCAAUGCUACCUCCAUUCCGGAGUUUAUUCGCCUUGGUGCUUUACAAGUGAAAACAAGAGCCUAUUACCCGAAACAAAUGCAGUGUUUUUAGUGUGGACAGUUUGGACAUACACAGAUUCACUGUAAACUGUCGCCUACCUGCACUAACUGUGGUACCCCUGCGCAUGGAGAGUGCACCGUAGAUCCCGUGUGCAUAAACUGCAAGGACAACCACAGCACCACGUCUCGUACCUGUCCCCGCUACCUCCAAGAAGAACAGGUCAUCAUGUACAAGAUCGGCAACAACUGUUCUUACGCGACAGUGCCAGUGUUCUAGCCGCCCUAGAACACGGUAACAUCCGAGAUCCGCACAUCCAACUAUUAGAUCAACUAGAUAACUCCCCGGUUAUAACAUUCUGCUGGAUACCUGGUCACUCGGGUAUCAGCGGAAACGAGAAAGCUGACCAAUUUGUAAACCAGGGUCGGCUCCGUCCUCCAGAAAACAACACAACCAUAGCCCGCAGAGACUUCAACAAAUGGAGCAAAACAAUAGUUGACCAAAAAUGGAACCUCACCUGGCACCGGAAACAAAAUUCUAUUCUUCGAACCAUCAAACCAUCAACAACAGCCUGGAAAGACACACACUCCAGCCGGAACCAACGAGUGCUAUCACGCCUCAGGAUUGGACACACCCGGCUUACACAUUCCUAUCUCCUAGAAAAGUCCAGCCCACCGUUAUGCAGGUUUUGUGGCGUAAACAUUACUGUUCGUCAUAUUCUCACCGAUUGCCAUGGAUACACCACCGAACGCGCCUUAUGCCAUCUUGAUACCAGCAUAGACAUCAUCCUAUCACCCGACCCCAAAUGUCAGCGAAAACUCCUCAAAUUCCUUUGUAUGACAAACCUUUAUGAAGAAAUUUAGUUUAUCAGAAUAAUAUGUGUCGUAAAUUAAUAUUGAUCUUAAAUUGAUAAAUUAUUAAAUUGAUCUUCCUUUUAGUUUUAAGCUUAGUUUUAAGGAAACCGAGCAAACCCGGAUUAAGGUUUACACAGGGAGGAAAUCCCCUGGGUAAGAAGAUUGUUAGGUUUAAGUAGUUUAAGAAGAGGCGAAUGAAGCCGAAAGGCUCAAAGUCUCUAUAAAAAUCAAUAAAAAAAAAAUCUACAUUUUUAGCUUAUAAGCUAAAAAUGUAGAACAGUUGUCACCUG